rfam:Halomonas sp. QHL1 Scaffold1, whole genome shotgun sequence.
GUGGGUGUAGCUCAGUGGUAGAGCCCCGGAUUGUGACUCCGGUGGUCGUGGGUUCAAGUCCCAUCAUCCACC